rnacentral:rRNA from 1 species
UACGUAGGGGGCAAGCGUUGUCCGGAUUUAUUGGGCGUAAAGAGCGUGUAGGCGGCCGUGUAGGUCCGUUGUGAAAACUCGAGGCUCAACCUCGAGACGUCGAUGGAAACCACACGGCUAGAGUCCGGAAGAGGAGAGUGGAAUUCCUGGUGUAGCGGUGAAAUGCGCAGAUAUCAGAAAGAACACCUAUGGCGAAGGCAGCUCUCUGGGACGGUACUGACGCUGAGACGCGAAAGCGUGGGGAGCGAACAGG